rnacentral:rRNA from 1 species
UGCAGUCGAGCGAAUGGAUUAAGAGCUUGCUCUUAUGAAGUUAGCGGCGGACGGGUGAGUAACACGUGGGUAACCUGCCCAUAAGACUGGGAUAACUCCGGGAAACCGGGGCUAAUACCGGAUAACAUUUUGCACCGCAUGGUGCGAAAUUCAAAGGCGGCUUCGGCUGUCACUUAUGGAUGGACCCGCGUCGCAUUAGCUAGUUGGUGAGGUAACGGCUCACCAAGGCAACGAUGCGUAGCCGACCUGAGAGGGUGAUCGGCCACACUGGGACUGAGACACGGCCCAGACUCCUACGGGAGGCAGCAGUAGGGAAUCUUCCGCAAUGGACGAAAGUCUGACGGAGCAACGCCGCGUGAGUGAUGAAGGCUUUCGGGUCGUAAAACUCUGUUGUUAGGGAAGAACAAGUGCUAGUUGAAUAAGCUGGCACCUUGACGGUACCUAACCAGAAAGCCACGGCUAACUACGUGCCAGCAGCCGCGGUAAUACGUAGGUGGCAAGCGUUAUCCGGAAUUAUUGGGCGUAAAGCGCGCGCAGGUGGUUUCUUAAGUCUGAUGUGAAAGCCCACGGCUCAACCGUGGAGGGUCAUUGGAAACUGGGAGACUUGAGUGCAGAAGAGGAAAGUGGAAUUCCAUGUGUAGCGGUGAAAUGCGUAG